AAUUCUAUAAUAUCAAUAUGCUCCGCUAUUAUUCCUGAACCUGUUUCAUAUGAAACUCCUGCAACUGAGCUGUAAAUAUUCCGAGAUCCGGAUUUACUAAAGGAAUUCAGUUAUCGAUUGGUUUGAUGCACCAUUGCCGGGAUCGAGAAAUGCCUGAUUCCGAUGAACUUGAUGUUCCUGCUCCCGAUAGCUACUACCCUGUUCGAAGCACUGUUUGCCGCUUCCGCCAUCCAACGUUCACGAUUCCUGGAACCGAGAAGCUGGUUAUUGUUACUGAAAAAAAAAAUCCACGCUACUCCCAGUAGUAGCCACUCCGUCCCGACUGUAGCUCCAUUGACCGUUCCAGACGCCCUUCAGGAUUUGAUAAAGGCGGAUAUGAAAGUUAGUGAUUUCUUCUGGUCCCGAGAAAAAAAAAA